rnacentral:lncRNA from 1 species
CCUGGUGUUAAAUGUUUUUAAAUGUUUUAUUAAAGAGUCACAUUGACAAGUUAUAUCAUCAUAGCUGUCCCAAACAGACAUUUCAAAGUAUCUUGCAGUAAAUGACUGUUUAAGUACAUUACAAAUAAAACUCAAGAGAAAAGAGAAAUAUGUAGAGAGAAAGAACAGCAAAUUCAGCAUGAUCCUGGUCCACACAGCAAAACCAUCAGAAAGCUAGCAUGCUAGGUAUCAGUCCAGAGGAACCAUCAGAAAGCUAGCUAGCUAGGAAUCAGUCCAGAGGAACCAUCAGAAAGCUAGCUAGCUAGCUAGGAAUCAGUCCAGAGGAACCAUCAGAAAGCCAGCUAGCUAGGAAUCAGUCCAGAGGAACCAUCAGAAAGCUAGCUAGCUAGGAAUCAGUCCAGAGGAACCAUCAGAAAGCUAGCUAGCUAGGAAUCAGUCCAGAGGAACCAUCAGAAAGCCAGCUAGCUAGAUAUCAGUCCAGAGGAACCAUCAGAAAGCUAGCUAGCUAGGAAUCAGUCCAGAGGAACCAUCAGAAAGCUAGCUAGCUAGGUAUCAGUCCAGAGGGACACACAUUACGCAAGUAGAUGUUUCGUCUUCAGUUCAGUGUGGGACCGACGUUACACAGGUAGAUGUUUGUCUUCAGUUCAGUGUGGGACACAGAAGAAGCAGGCAGCAGUAGUAGUAGCAUAAAUAAGAUAUCAGCUCUUACGGUUUGUCUUCGGGAACCAUUUAAAAAACGAUAGAAACAGAAUGAUUCUUGUAUGUUGUGAGAUAUUUAAAACAAUAGACAGACAACAUGAUUGAAUGAAUCAAUAGUAGGCGAACUAGGUGGACCAACUUUUGUUUUAAACAACAACCUUUUUGACGUUUCAGUCAGAGAGUCUUAAUUUCACAGCUACCUAAAGAAUCCAAACGAAAACAUCUGUGUUGACUUUUCCUUGAAUAAGCCAUUCAGAAGCUUCCUCUUCCUGGUCCGUUAAACCGUUAAACCGUUAAACAGUUAAACAGUUACCAAGCUUGUGUUAGAACACGUCAAAGAUCCUGAGACGACACAGUUCUACAAAACUGAGCUAAAUAUAGCACACAGAUCUCUUUCUUUACAAAAAAUUAAUGGGGGAGGUGAACGUGGGGAUACAAGCCCCCCAACUGGAAUUACAGAUCUCUGUUGUUAUGUGUUCCAUUUAAUAACAAAUAUGAAAGAUAAUACAAGCAUGGCCACAGUAAUAUAUACCAUGAAAUGAGAAGCAACAGUCACAUUUCUUCAGGAGGAAAAAAA